rnacentral:rRNA from 1 species
AGUGAACGCUGGCGGUAGGCCUAACACAUGCAAGUCGAACGGCAGCACAGUAAGAGCUUGCUCUUACGGGUGGCGAGUGGCGGACGGGUGAGGAAUACAUCGGAAUCUACUUUUUCGUGGGGGAUAACGUAGGGAAACUUACGCUAAUACCGCAUACGACCUACGGGGGAAAGCAGGGGAUCUUCGGACCUUGCGCGAUUGAAUGAGCCGAUGUCGGAUUAGCUAGUUGGCGGGGUAAAGGCCCACCAAGGCGACGAUCCGUAGCUGGUCUGAGAGGAUGAUCAGCCACACUGGAACUGAGACACGGUCCAGACUCCUACGGGAGGCAGCAGUGGGGAAUAUUGGACAAAGGGCGCAAGCCUGAUCCAGCCAUACCGCGUGGGUGAAGAAGGCCUUCGGGUUGUAAAGCCCUUUUGUUGGGAAAGAAAAGCAGCAGGUUAAUACCCCGCUGUUCUGACGGUACCCAAAGAAUAAGCACCGGCUAACUUCGUG